AACGAACGCUGGCGGCAUGCCUAACACAUGCAAGUCGAACGAGACCUUCGGGUCUAGUGGCGCACGGGUGCGUAACGCGUGGGAACCUGCCCUUAGGUUCGGAAUAACUCCCCGAAAGGGGUGCUAAUACCGGAUAAUGUCUUCGGACCAAAGAUUUAUCGCCUUUGGAUGGGCCCGCGUUGGAUUAGCUAGUUGGUAGGGUAAAAGCCUACCAAGGCGACGAUCCAUAGCUGGUCUGAGAGGAUGAUCAGCCACACUGGGACUGAGACACGGCCCAGACUCCUACGGGAGGCAGCAGUGGGGAAUAUUGGACAAUGGGCGAAAGCCUGAUCCAGCAAUGCCUCGUGAGUGAUGAAGGCCUUAGGGUUGUAAAGCUCUUUUACCCGGGAUGAUAAUGACAGUACCGGGAGAAUAAGCUCCGGCUAACUCCGUG
rnacentral:rRNA from 1 species